AUUGAACGCUGGCGGCAGGCCUAACACAUGCAAGUCGAACGGUAACAGGAAGCAGCUUGCUGCUUUGCUGACGAGUGGCGGACGGGUGAGUAAUGUCUGGGAAACUGCCCGAUGGAGGGGGAUAACUACUGGAAACGGUAGCUAAUACCGCAUAACGUCGCAAGACCAAAGAGGGGGACCUUAGGGCCUCUUGCCAUCGGAUGUGCCCAGAUGGGAUUAGCUAGUAGGUGGGGUAACGGCUCACCUAGGCGACGAUCCCUAGCUGGUCUGAGAGGAUGACCAGCCACACUGGAACUGAGACACGGUCCAGACUCCUACGGGAGGCAGCAGUGGGGAAUAUUGCACAAUGGGCGCAAGCCUGAUGCAGCCAUGCCGCGUGUAUGAAGAAGGCCUUCGGGUUGUAAAGUACUUUCAGCGGGGAGGAAGGGAGUAAAGCUAAUACCUUUGCUCAUUGACGUGACCCGCAGAAGAAGCACCGGCUAACUCCGU
rnacentral:rRNA from 1 species